rnacentral:rRNA from 1 species
AGUUGCAUGGCACUUCUAAUCUAACACCAAGCGAAUCAUCGAGUCUUUGAACGCAAACGGCRCCCUUCCAGUCCAUUCCAAAGCGGUGGCGGAGGAUGAAGACAAGGGUAUCUCUGGCUGAGGGUAAUGGG